rnacentral:snRNA from 1 species
UAGAAGAUCUGGCAGGGGAGAUACCAUGAUCACGAAGGUGGUUUUCCCAGGGCGAGGCUUAUCCAUUGCACUCCGGAUGUGCUGACCCCUGCGAUUUCCCCAAAUGUGGGAAACUCGACUGCAUAAUUUGUGGUAGUGGGGGACUGCGUUCGCGCUCUCCCCUG